AGUAACGCGUGAGGAACCUGCCUCAAAGAGGGGGACAACGGUUGGAAACGACUGCUAAUACCGCAUAAGCCCACAGCUCGGCAUCGAGCAGAGGGAAAAGGAGUGAUCCGCUUUGAGAUGGCCUCGCGUCCGAUUAGCUAGUUGGUGAGGUAAUGGCCCACCAAGGCGACGAUCGGUAGCCGGACUGAGAGGUUGAACGGCCACAUUGGGACUGAGACACGGCCCAG
rnacentral:rRNA from 1 species